rnacentral:rRNA from 1 species
AUACGGAGGAUCCGAGCGUUAUCCGGAUUUAUUGGGUUUAAAGGGUGCGUAGGCGGCCAUUUAAGUCAGCGGUUAAAUCGUGGGGCUCAACCCCAUUCUGCCGUUGAUACUGGGUGGCUUGAUUGCGGUCGAGGUUGGCGGAAUUCGUUGUGUAGCGGUGAAAUGCAUAGAUAUGACGAAGAACACCGAUUGCGUAGGCAGCUGACCAGACCGCAAAUGACGCUCAUGCACGAAAGUGCGGGGAUCGAACAGGAUUAGAUACCCUGGUAGUCCGAACAGUAAACGAUGAAUACUUGUUUUCGGCGAUAUAAUGUCGGAGGCAAAGCGAAAGCGAUAAGUAUUCCACCUGGGGAGUACGCCGGCAACGGUGAAACUCAAAUGAAUUGACGGGG